AUUGAACGCUGGCGGCAUGCCUUACACAUGCAAGUCGAACGGUAACGCGCCUUCGUUUGCCGACGAGUGUCGCCCGGGUGCGUAAUACUUCCGCACGUGCCCGAUCGUUGUGGAUAACGAGUCUCAUGCUUUUCUAAUACCUCAUACCAUCUACUGUUUUAAGCCGGGGACCGCAAGGCCUUGCGCCGACUUUGCUGCCGAUGGCAGAUUAGGUAGUUGGUCGGUUAAAAGCUUAUCAAGUCGACGAUGUGUAGCGGUUCUGAGAGGAUGAUCCGCCACACGGGAAGUGAGACACGGACCAGAAUCCGACGGGAGGCAGCAGUGGGGAAUAUUGGACAAGGGGCGAAAGCAUGAUAGAGCAAAGCCGCGUGAAGGAUGAAGGACUUCGGGUUGUAAAAUGCUUUUGUAAGGAAAGAAAAGAAGUCUAAGAAAACAGGAGGGUCAUGACGGUACCGAAAGAAAAAGCAACGGCUAACUACGUG
rnacentral:rRNA from 1 species